CCGAAUUUCAACUUUCAAAUCUCUAUUAAAUAAGUAAUAACCCAUUCUAAUUUUACCCUUUAUAUGUUUUCCUUUUUUUAAAAUUUUUUUUUCCAUCCCAUUUUCUCUUUCCUCUGUUCUUCUCUUUUCUCUAGAACGCAAAAUCUCUAGUCUGAUUCCUUGUAAAAGUGGCUAUCGAAUUUUCGAAAUGUGGUGCAAAAGUUUCGACUAAGAAAUCUGAAGCUAAGGUGAUCCCCUAUGAAGAAUGGAAAACAGAUUAUGAGAAAUAUUGUUCACAAUUCACUCAGAAUGCCAAAUUCCUGGCGAUGUUACAAUCUCGAUGCCCACCAGAGAAUAACUCAAGGAUUGGUAGUACAAUCUAGCACUUAAAUCUGAUGAAAUAGUAAUAGGAUCUACUCACUUGCACAUGGUUCAUUCUUCCCUCUCGCCUCUUCUCAUUUAGUUUCUGGCUGUGGCGGGUAUUCACAUUAUGCAACUGCCCCUUAAUGCAAUUCAAUCCAUUAUUGUCGCCGGUGUUCUUGGGGUAGUGAAGAAAAAGAAACUUCGAGUAUCCGAAAUUUUUGGUUCCUUUAGAAAAUCAAUAAACACCGCCUCUGUCCACAAGGUUUGGUAUCUUUCUCCCAAAAAGGGUCGUUUCAUGAUUACUGGUCAGGAGACUUCUCACCGCAAUUGGGGUGAAUUUGUAUUUCUUAUCAGAGGUAACUGGUUUCCAAAGUUGUUUGUGAUGGCGUGUUUCCUGUUCUUCGUUACUUAUCAGAAGGGAUUUCUUGGCCUGAAAAAUAUGACAUCAGUGAGUCCAGGGUUGAAUCGCUAACUUCUUGCGGGAUUUUUCAUGUCUGCAAGGUUCAUGCUAUUCUAGUAAGGAAAUUACUAAAUUCAGAAGUAAUGUCGUGUCUCCCGAGGCAAUGGGGGAUUGAUGAUAUUAAUGAAUAUGUCAUCAAAAUAGCUGUUGAUGAUGAUGACGACAACGAUGCCAUGCUUGUCAAGACAAGUCGUGGCCAUCUUUUUUAUUUCAAGAAGCACGACAAUCCAUCUACCAUUUAUGCUUUUCUACCCAACGAAAUUCAUAUACUGUCCCAGCUCGUGGACAACGCUCUAAAAGAUUCAUCUUUUUGAGGCCUUCCAAACGCCUCAAGAGGCUUUCGGCAAAGCUCUAUGGCUAGAAGUACUAGCAAAGAUACCAAUACCUCUUCUUCUGAUCCCUCAUCAAGCGCUCUCGAGGCGUUCAACAUUUUAUCAGUGGUUGCUCUCGCACUUGAUAUAGAUAAAAAAAAAUUAUGAUGCCCCUAUCUCCCUCUAAGUCCUUACUUUCAGCACCAUUUCUUUCUCCGGAGCUUCUGAUACACAGUUGAUUCGAAAAAGAAAACAAUUCCCACCACUUCUCGGUGCUCCCCAGAUGGUCGUUUCUCAUGAUCCUCUUGAUAAUGCGCCUAAAAAGUUCAAAGUUUCUUUUGCUCCUCCUCUUCCUUCUACUUAGGCAAGGCCUAGCUCUCCAGAAUUCCUCGUUGAUAAAUGCACCCAAAGGCGCAUACACGUUCUUGCUAACAUGUCUCUUUUUGGUAAGUCAAACAAGUCUACUUCCAGUGUUGCACAGAAAACAAUUGAAUCUCCUGUCGAUCCAAUUCCUAUAACUGCUAAGCAAAUAUUCACACAUGCCAUUGAUGCUACUUUAAUUACCUCUAUCACUUGAACUUCUCUUUCUCCCUUUGUUUCACUCAAAUUCGCCUCUUCUAGCACUCUGUUCCAGCAUUUACGAGCCUCCUCCAUGGAUACUCCUACGUUUUUGCCUAACGAUUGUAGUAAUGGGAGUAUCGAUAAGAGACUUUUCACCUUCUCAAGUUUAUCACCUUCUCAAGAUCCUCUUGCCGACCUUCUGGGAUCUCAAAAAUUUGACAAAUACACUUCCUCCUCUGAACUUGCCCCUUUUACCACCUCUCCAGCCCCGACAGCUGUCCCCGAGGCUGCUGCCGCUACUUCCCUAUCUAUCAUAAUUCAUUCUCCCCCUUGUAACCAAUUUAGAGGCUGAAUUGGUUACAACCAUUUCCUGCAAUCUCAAAUCUGCCCAAUAUUCGCUUUGACAGAAGUAGUUCUUCACUGCGUCGUUCUCCUUUCUUAGCAUUUCUUAACGAGGACGUGAUUGCUAUUUUGAGGAGCAAUAUGUGCAUCCACAAUCAUCUACUAUCUGGUCUGCAGGGCAUCUCUUCCUCAGAGUUUCAUCACCAUCUCUGCGACAUUACCCUUUUGGUUUCUUGUGGCUGGUAACCUGGAUCAAACUGGGAGUGUCAAAGCUGAACUAUCAGUUUCUCGAGAAGUGCAAAACAAACUUGAAGAACAAUUGAAGUCUUCUGAAGCAGCUCACACUAAAUCAGAAGAAGAACUCGCUUUCAUAUAAAAUUAACUCUCUGAGGCGCAUGGGUGACUUGAAAUAGUGCCAGCUGCACUAAACGAGAGGGCUCAUUGAAGAGAAAGUUGGUGAAAGCUGAGCAAAUACUCAUUAGCAUUAAUGCAAUCGAGAAGCAACGCGAUCAAGCUAUCGAAGAACUUGCAAAAGCUACGCUGGAAGUUACAAGCCUUAACAAAGAGCUUUUAAAGCGUUUGAAGAUCAACCGAACUCAAGAUGUGUUACUGUCUCCAAAAACAACUCUCAUUUAAAAACUUGAAGACAAAGUGGCUUCGUUAUUAGCAGAGGUGGCACAGAUUAUCGACACGCGACAAUCAUAGGAUGACGAACCGACAUCAACAAUGUAGACUCUAGACAACCCCCGACCAGAUCGCAAGGAGUAAUCAAAGCUUCACCAUACAACAACUGAUCAAAACAUAGUCAAAGCUUCAUUCAGAAAGGUAAUCCUAGUUGGCUCGAUGACAUGCUCGACCUACCUUGUCGGAUGCUUUGGUAAAAACGCAUAUAAUGACCAGCUUAAGUAGAUAUUUACUAGAUAUUUAUCAUCUGAAAUGUAUUAUCAUUAAUUAUUUCAUUAUUUUAUUAUUACUUGCCAUGCAAGUCAUGAAAGUUUCACGACCCAUUUGUGUAAGAUCUCAUAGCCUAUAAAUAGAAGGCUUAGUACAUAAUUAUUUUCUAAGGUUAUUUUUGUGCACUUUUAUACAUAGAACAUUUUAUUUUCUCAAGCUCACGAAACUCGGUUGAAUCUAGUUCAUCUAAUCAUGGGUUUGGAGCUUUCUACAUGAAUAAGUAUCUAAGUGGACGUAGGUUUGGGCUGAACCACUGUAAAUUCCUGUGUCGUUUACUAUUUCAAUUCAGAUCUCUAUUUUUCAUAUCGAUUAUUUGACAGUAUCGUUGGACAUAUAUGUGCUCAACAACUAUAGGGCUGCUAAGCUGAGAGCACUAAAAGGUGCACUAUUGGAAGCAGAGAAGAAACAUUCUAAGCUUGAAGCAAAACUGACCGAAACAAGGAUGCGACUUGGUAAGGCCCAAAGUGUCUUAUCUGCUUCUUCAAAUGAAAGGUUGUCACUACUAAAGACUAGGAGCUAGAAGAGGUUCAUCUUCAAUCCACUCGCAAUCGCAUCAAUGAUCGGCCGUUGACAGAGACAAGGAUGAAUAGAAUGGCGGAUCUAGACAUCGCCUCAUACCUCGAUUCUAUGGCCAAAUAUUCUGACCUCUCUACUGUUGAGAAGAUCGAUAUUGUUAAAGUAGUUUGUACUCCGUUUGGCAUUGAGUAUGGGCAUUACGACUAAAAGCACUACAGCGCUCAAUUAGGCUACAUCCACAUCUCUUACCAUGUCGUACAUUUAGAAGAACUUCAAAGGAGGCAAGAUGCUUUAGGAUUCAUUUAUUAGGAAACCUGUGAAGCAAUCUUCUGGUGGUGUGUCAACUCAAUCGACUGGUGAAGCUAGAUCAUUUCCUCGGAUUGCAGCACCUGAAUCAUCAACUCAGGGAUCUUCUGCAAAUGGGAAAAUUGUGGUUGUUUCAAAGGCUGAUUACUCGUCAGUUCCCCCACCAGCCAACUUGACCACCACUGCUCCUGAGGGCAGCUAGGAUCUCGUGGGUUUAAUUUUAUUGUUUAAAUGAUGUACUUAAUACUUUUGUGAUGUCAAUCAAGGGAACUCUUUCUAUUUUUGUUAA